AGCAGCUCUCUGCCCCCUCGAUCCCUCUCGCGCAUUCGUGGAGUUCGCGUCGUUUUUAUUUUCGGCUGCGCGCGCGUGUGGUCUCGCUUGCUUUCGCUUGAGUGGCUCACGUCCCCUCACACAGCCACACUCGCUCACUCCCACCUCACGCACCCAGACACGUGCCCCUGCCAGCGCUCGGCUACCUCAGACGGCGCACUCCGUCUGCCGCAGACAAACACCGGCAUCGUUUGCCGAUUGCAGUCGUGCCUUCCAGGCAUAUUCUUGUGGGCGACACACACGCACACAGACGCAUCAUGGAAGCCGUGCAGAUCGCCAAGAGCAUCCUGGCUGCCGAUGGGCAGCCGUUUGUGAUCCUUUCGCUCGCCCAGGGGUUUGCGCCCGUGACGCCCGAGACGCCGCUGCCAGUGGCACGUCGCAGCUACAUGCGUCUCGCUGGUGUCAUCCACCCAGACCGCCUUAAGGGCAGCUUCGACAAGGCCACGGAAGCGUUCCAGUGCCUGGUGAGCGCCUUUGAGUGCUUCGCAGACCCCAAGGCGCGCAAGCAGGCCGCCGCCGCUGCACAGGGAAAAUCGAAAGCGGAGUCCCGGGCGUCCACCGCGGCAGACGGCAGGAAAGCCAAGGCCGCGCCGCCGUCUUCGACCACCUCGCGCCCGUCGGCAUCGCAGCAGAUGAAGAAGGCCAAUUCAAAGGCCGCUGCGGCACCGGCUGUGAAGAAGCCAAAGGCGUCUGCCGAGGGCGAGGAGGAGAGCGAGAGCGAGAGCGAUACCGAGGACGAUGACGCCUCGGAGGCCUCGGUGGCGGACGAGAAGGCGUGGGAAGCGUUGGCCGCCGCCAAUACAGAGCCGGAGGUGUCGACGAACCGCACGCCGAUCGGGCAGCCGCGCCUGGGUGGACUCUACCAGCAUACCACGGUGGGAUGCCCCAAGUGCCGCUCCCUCUGGGAGCCCGAUUCGCGGCCACAGUACUCGCUCUUCAUGGGUCAGUGGGGUAAGAAGGUGCACUGUCAACUGUGUCUCUUCCAGUUUGGCUGUGCCACGGCGCUGCACGGCUGCCCCCACUGCAGCGCGCCCUUCGACUACGAUGCCUCCAUGUACGAUACCGUGCAGACGUGCCAGCGGUGCAAAAGGCAGUUCGGCUUCCCCUACUACCCCGUCAGUCAGCACCUGAUCGACCAGAUAGCGCUGGAGGAGUGGCGAGAACGCAUGGAGCGGCAGAAAACGAGUGAACGGGAGGCCCGGGCGAGGGCGCGUCACGGGGGCGGCGGCAGAGAUGAGGCGACCGCCACGGAGAAGAUGCAGCUCCUGGUUGGCACCUGCAUCAUGGAGGAGGAGUGCCCCCUGUGCCACAAGCGUGUCAAGAGCAAGCACCGCGCGCACGUGGAAGAGUGCAUGGCCACACCACCCGGGGAGCUGGCUACAUCGGCUGGGAGGGCUUCCAGGAAGACGACGCGAGCUGCGCCACCGGCCGACAAGGUUGCCAAGGCACCGGCGUCCCGGACUGCCAAGACGACCCCGAAAGCAAACCCCAAGACGACAACACCGGGGGCCACCAAGAAGUCAGCCGUGCCGCGGGCGCCGCGCGCCAAGGCCUCGCCACCCGCCACCGCCAAAGGGAAGAAGACGUCGGCGCUGCAGAAGCGCAAGCGGCAACGCAGCGACUCGGACUUCUCGGAAGGGGAGGACUCUCUCUCUGACUCGGAGGAGGACGCGAUCAGCUCCGAAUCGUCCUUCUCCUAUAGCGACUACGACGACAGCGACUAGCGGCGUGGCAGACGAGAGAGGCGGGGAAGGAAUGGGGAGUGGGGGGGGCUGGUUGUGGGCACCUCCUCCUUGCCUGCGGCCCUCUUGCAGUGCAGUCUCAUGAUGGGCGUGCGUGCCCGCAUGCGCGUUGAUUGGCUUUUUGGUUUUCGCUUCAUUUUUUUUUUCGUCGCCAAGAGAGCGCGAGAGACCUCAGUGCGCGGUAUCAGAAUCCAGUGCCCGCUCUUCGUGUGGAAGCCAAGCAGCCUGCAGUGUACCCUGCUGUACGGCUGGCAGACUCGUGGUGUCGGCAGGACAUGCCUGGGCUGACGCUGUGCCGAAGAGACGUGCGGUCAUGAUGAUCACUUUUGUGACUGAUCACAACG
rnacentral:misc_RNA from 1 species